CUCUUCUGGAGCUUUGCAGUGAGACUGGACGUGAACCUAUCAUUAAAUAAGAGUUCCUGAUAGAACUGCAAAUCCCAUGUGACAAUGGACCUCUUUUCAAGAGAAAGUACACAAGCAACUUUCUUCAUGAUACAUGCUUCUGUGCAGAACACUUCUCUUCAAGACUGAAGUCCACUUAGUAGUUCUUAUCACGCAAGUCAUCA